rnacentral:rRNA from 1 species
UACGGGGGGGGCAAGCGUUGUUCGGAAUUACUGGGCGUAAAGGGCUCGUAGGCGGCCAACUAAGUCAAACGUGAAAUCCCUCGGCUUAACCGGGGAACUGCGUCUGAUACUGGAUGGCUUGAGAUUGGGAGAGGGAUGCGGAAUUCCAGGUGUAGCGGUGAAAUGCGUAGAUAUCUGGAGGAACACCGGUGGCGAAGGCGGCGUCCUGGACCAACACUGACACUGAGGAGCGAAAGCCAGGGGAGCAAACGGG